CCUACGGGAGGCAGCAGUGAGGAAUAUUGGUCAAUGGACGCAAGUCUGAACCAGCCAUGCCGCGUGCAGGAAGACGGCUCUAUGAGUUGUAAACUUCUUUUGUACGGGGGUAAACGCAGAUACGCGUAUCUGUCUGAAAGUAUCGUACGAAUAAGGAUCGGCUAACUCCGUGCCAGCAGCCGCGGUAAUACGGAGGAUUCAAGCGUUAUCCGGAUUUAUUGGGGUUAAAGGGUGCGUAGGCGGUCUGGUAAGUUAGAGGUGAAAUCCCGAGGCUCAACCUCGGAAUUGCCGUUGAUACUGGCAGGCUAGAGAGCAGUUGCGGUAGGCGGAAUGUAUGGUGUAGCGGUGAAAUGCUUAGAGAUCAUACAGAACACCGAUUGCGAAGGCAGCUCACCAAGCUACUACUGACGUUGAGGCACGAAAGUGUGGGGAGCAAACAGGAUUAGAUACCCCUGUAGUC
rnacentral:rRNA from 1 species